UGGGGAAUAUUGCACAAUGGGCGAAAGCCUGAUGCAGCAACGCCGCGUGAGUGAUGAAGGUCUUCGGAUUGUAAAGCUCUGUCUUUUGGGACGAUAAUGACGGUACCAAAGGAGGAAGCCACGGCUAACUACGUGCCAGCAGCCGCGGUAAUACGUAGGUGGCGAGCGUUGUCCGGAUUUACUGGGCGUAAAGGGUGCGUAGGCGGAUGUUUAAGUGAGAUGUGAAAUACCCGGGCUUAACUUGGGUGCUGCAUUUCAAACUGGAUAUCUAGAGUGCAGGAGAGGAGAAUGGAAUUCCUAGUGUAGCGGUGAAAUGCGUAGAGAUUAGGAAGAACACCAGUGGCGAAGGCGAUUCUCUGGACUGUAACUGACGCUGAGGCACGAAAGCGUGGGUAGCAAACAGGAUUAGAUACCCUGGUAGUCCACGCCGUAAAACGAUGAGUACUAGGUGUAGGAGGUNUCGACCCCUUCUGUGCCGCAGUAAAACACAU
rnacentral:rRNA from 1 species